rnacentral:ncRNA from 2 species
AAUAAUGGAAUAGCGCCAGGCCUGAUUCAUCAGGUGACGAGGAGAGAGCUUAUCGAAAGAUUCGGCGGAUGGCUCUAGGGACUGCACUCUACAAGUUGGACAUAAAACAUAAUUGCAACGUUAUAACAAAAUGCCAACUACGCAGGAUA